UCUGGUUCGCGAGGGUGUAGUAAUUUUUACUGGAGCCCUAGCAAAACAUUUGGAGAAGGAUGAUCCUAAAGUUCAUGCUGUUGUAGAGAAGUUGUUGGAUGUAUUAAACACUCCAUCAGAAGCUGUUCAGCGGGCAGUCUCAUCAUGCCUGUCUCCAUUAAUGCAAUCAAUGCAAGAUGAUGCACCAGCACUCGUUUCUGGGCUGUUGGAUCAGCUAAUGAAAAGCGACAAAUAUGGAGAACGUCGUGGAGCAGCAUUUGGACUUGCUGGAGUGGUUAAGGGAUUAGGACUUUCUUCCCUGAAGAAGUAUGGCAUUGUGGCUGUACUAAGAGAAGGUUUUGCAGAC